GAUGAACGCUGGCGGCGUGCCUAAUACAUGCAAGUCGAGCGAACGGACGAGAAGCUUGCUUCUCUGAUGUUAGCGGCGGACGGGUGAGUAACACGUGGAUAACCUACCUAUAAGACUGGGAUAACUUCGGGAAACCGGAGCUAAUACCGGAUAAUAUUUUGAACCGCAUGGUUCAAAAGUAAAAGACGGUCUUGCUGUCACUUAUAGAUGGAUCCGCGCUGCAUUAGCUAGUUGGUAAGGUAACGGCUUACCAAGGCAACGAUGCAUAGCCGACCUGAGAGGGUGAUCGGCCACACUGGAACUGAGACACGGUCCAGACUCCUACGGGAGGCAGCAGUAGGGAAUCUUCCGCAAUGGGCGAAAGCCUGACGGAGCAACGCCGCGUGAGUGAUGAAGGUCUUCGGAUCGUAAAACUCUGUUAUUAGGGAAGAAUAUAUGUGUAAGUAACUGUGCACAUCUUGACGGUACCUAAUCAGAAAGCCACGGCUAACUACGUGCCAGCAGCCGCGGUAAUACGUAGGUGGCAAGCGUUAUCCGGAAUUAUUGGGCGUAAAGCGCGCGUAGGCGGUUUUUUAAGUCUGAUGUGAAAGCCCACGGCUCAACCGUGGAGGGUCAUUGGAAACUGGAAAACUUGAGUGCAGAAGAGGAAAGUGGAAUUCCAUGUGUAGCGGUGAAAUGCGCAGAGAUAUGGAGGAACACCAGUGGCGAAGGCGACUUUCUGGUCUGUAACUGACGCUGAUGUGCGAAAGCGUGGGGAUCAAACAGGAUUAGAUACCCUGGUAGUCCACGCCGUAAACGAUGAGUGCUAAGUGUUAGGGGGUUUCCGCCCCUUAGUGCUGCAGCUAACGCAUUAAGCACUCCGCCUGGGGAGUACGACCGCAAGGUUGAAACUCAAAGGAAUUGACGGGGACCCGCACAAGCGGUGGAGCAUGUGGUUUAAUUCGAAGCAACGCGAAGAACCUUACCAAAUCUUGACAUCCUUUGACAACUCUAGAGAUAGAGCCUUCCCCUUCGGGGGACAAAGUGACAGGUGGUGCAUGGUUGUCGUCAGCUCGUGUCGUGAGAUGUUGGGUUAAGUCCCGCAACGAGCGCAACCCUUAAGCUUAGUUGCCAUCAUUAAGUUGGGCACUCUAAGUUGACUGCCGGUGACAAACCGGAGGAAGGUGGGGAUGACGUCAAAUCAUCAUGCCCCUUAUGAUUUGGGCUACACACGUGCUACAAUGGACAAUACAAAAGGCAGCGAAACCGCGAGGUCAAGCAAAUCCCAUAAAGUUGUUCUCAGUUCGGAUUGUAGUCUGCAACUCGACUACAUGAAGCUGGAAUCGCUAGUAAUCGUAGAUCAGCAUGCUACGGUGAAUACGUUCCCGGGUCU
rnacentral:rRNA from 1 species